rnacentral:tRNA from 1 species
GGCCCUGUGGCCUAAUGGUAAGGCGUUGGUUUUCGGCACCAAAGAUUGUGCGUCCAAGCCGCACCGGGGUCG